AAAUUUGGACUUCCUUAUUGCACCUACGAUUACAAUGCAAGCCUAUUUGGUGAGCUUUUCCAUUGUGAAAGAGACGACAAAAUCAUACCAGAAUCGAUGAUUUGUAUUUAUGCCCUAGAUGCCAGCGGUUACCUGACUGGAUGUAGGUCUGGAGACCAUUUACAAAAUUGUGAAAAAUUCAUUUGUCCUGAAAAUACAUUGAAAUGUCCUGGAAGUUACUGUAUCGAGCAGAGAUUUCUAUGUGAUGGGCAUAUAGAAUGCCCUGGAGGAGAAGACGAACAAGAUUGUAGUAAGUGAUCAAAAUUUAUAAUAACUAAACUUAACACAUAUUUUUGCUUUGUGUAGAUUGAUGUAUGUCAUCUGUAUUCGGCCAAAGAAUUUUGUGCAUUUAAGCUAUGCCUUUGAUUGUCCAUCCGCCACAAAACAAUUUCGAGUCCCCUCUGAAACGUUAAGUGUAAAUGGAAAAUGAUACUUGGAAGAAAUGUUUAGCACAAUCAGAUAAUGUGCUAGCUAUGAAUUUCAUAUUCUCUUUUCGUAUCUUUUGAACCUAUGAAAUGAAGUUGAAACUAUGUUGCAGAAAUGUUAAUAAUAAUAACACGACGUGAAGCAUUUUAGAUUGUUCAGAUCAAGUUGAGGUCGUCAUUCAAAAUAUCUGCAUAUGGGACAAUUAAGGGUCACAAGCGGUGGUUAUAUUGGAUUAUAGAUUCAAAGACAUAACAUUAUAUAUUGUCUGUUUGUUACACUAUAUUAAUGCAGUUAAUUAAUCAAGUAAAUUGAACUGUCUCAUUAACUGCUAUAAAUGCGUUUUAUAACAACGAAGAUUAAAAUACGCCGAAAAAGAAAUACAAAUAAUUUAGAAAAUGUGUAUUUUUAUUUAAGUCAGGGAUUGAAAAAAUACAACCGUGUAUAACCAGUAAAGCAGAAAUGUCGUAAGCACGAGUUACUAAGUCGGGCGCACGAGCAACUUAGUCGUGUCUGCGCGAUAGAUAAGUAUUGUGCACGAGA